GCGAGUAUGCUGGAACUGGUAGACAGGCACGUUUGAGGGGCGUGUGUUUCGUACGUAUGGGUUCAAGUCCCAUUACUCGCACCA
rnacentral:tRNA from 1 species